AGCGGCAGGCUUAACACAUGCAAGUCGAGGGGUAACAUUGGUGCUUGCACCAGAUGACGACCGGCGCACGGGUGCGUAACGCGUAUAGAACCUACCUUUUACAAGAGAAUAGCCCAGAGAAAUUUGGAUUAAUGCUCCAUAGUAUCAUAAGAUCACCUGAUUUAAUGAUUAAAGCUUCGGCGGUAAAAGAUGGCUAUGCGUCUUAUUAGCUAGAUGGUGAAGUAACAGCUCACCAUGGCAACGAUAAGUAGGGGUCCUGAGAGGGAGAUCCCCCACACUGGUACUGAGACACGGACCAGACUCCUACGGGAGGCAGCAGUGAGGAAUAUUGGGCAAUGGAGGCAACUCUGACCCAGCCAUGCCGCGUGCAGGAAGACUGCCCUAUGGGUUGUAAACUGCUUUUAUACAGGAAGAAACACUCCCUCGUGAGGGAGCAUGACGGUACUGUAAGAAUAAGGAUCGGCUAACUCCGUGCCAGCAGCCGCGGUAAUACGGAGGAUCCAAGCGUUAUCCGGAAUCAUUGGGUUUAAAGGGUCCGUAGGCGGGCAAUUAAGGCAGGGGUGAAAUCCCACAGCUCAACUGUGGAACUGCCUUUGAUACUGGUUGUCUUGAGUUAUAGUGAAGUAGAUAGAAUAUGUAGUGUAGCGGUGAAAUGCAUAGAUAUUACAUAGAAUACCGAUUGCGAAGGCACAGAUUACUAAUAACCAACUGCCACUGAUGGACGAAAAGCGUGGGGAGCGAACAGGAUUAGAUACCCUGGUAGUCCACGCCGUAAACGAUGGAUACUAGCUGUUCGGAUUUAUCUGAGUGGCUAAGCGAAAGUGAUAAGUAUCCCACCUGGGGAGUACGUUCGCAAGAAUGAAACUCAAAGGAAUUGACGGGGGCCCGCACAAGCGGUGGAGCAUGUGGUUUAAUUCGAUGAUACGCGAGGAACCUUACCAGGGCUUAAAUGUAAGUUGCAUUAGUUAGAGAUAGCUAUUUCUUCGGACUACUUACAAGGUGCUGCAUGGUUGUCGUCAGCUCGUGCCGUGAGGUGUCAGGUUAAGUCCUAUAACGAGCGCAACCCCUAUCGUUAGUUGCUAACAGAUUAUGCUGAGGACUCUAAUGAGACUGCCUACGCAAGUAGUGAGGAAGGUGGGGAUGACGUCAAAUCAUCACGGCCCUUACGUCCUGGGCCACACACGUGCUACAAUGGUCGGUACAGAGGGCAGCUACCCCGCGAGGGGAUGCGAAUCUCGAAAGCCGGUCUCAGUUCGGAUCGAAGUCUGCAACUCGACUUCGUGAAGCUGGAAUCGCUAGUAAUCGCGCAUCAGAAUACUGCGGUGAAUACGUUCCCGGGCCUUGUACACACCGCCCGUCACACCAUGGGAGUGGGAUGCAAAAGAAGUAGUUAGUCUAACCUUCGGGAGGACGAUUACCACUUUGUGUUUCAUGACUGGGGUGAAGUCGU
rnacentral:rRNA from 1 species